rnacentral:rRNA from 1 species
CCUACGUGAGGCAGCAGUAGGGAAUAUUGCUCAAUGGGGGAAACCCUGAAGCAGCAACGCCGCGUGGAGGAUGAAGGUUUUCGGAUUGUAAACUUCUUUUGUCAGGGAAGAGUAGAAGACGGUACCUGACGAAUAAGCCACGGCUAACUACGUGCCAGCAGCCGCGGUAAUACGUAGGUGGCAGGCGUUGUCCGGAUUUACUGGGUGUAAAGGGCGUGUAGCCGGGUUGAAAAGUCAGAUGUGAAAUCCUGCGGCUUAACCGCAGAACUGCAUUUGAAACUGUUGAUCUUGAGUACUGGAGAGGCAGACGGAAUUCCUAGUGUAGCGGUGAAAUGCGUAGAUAUUAGGAGGAACACCAGUGGCGAAGGCGGUCUGCUGGACAGCAACUGACGGUGAGGCGCGAAAGCGUGGGGAGCAAACAGGAUUAGAUACCCCAGUAGUC